AGUGAACGCUGGCGGUAUGCCUAACACAUGCAAGUCGAACGGCAGCACAGUAAGAGCUUGCUCUUACGGGUGGCGAGUGGCGGACGGGUGAGGAAGACAUCGGAAUCUGCUUUUUCGUGGGGGAUGGCGUAGGGAAACUUACGCUAAUACCUCAUACGACCUAAGUGUGAAUGCAGGGGAUCUUCGGACCUUGCGCGAUUUAAUGAUCGGAUGUCGGAUGAGCUAGUUUGCGGGGUAAAGGCGCACCAAGGCGACGAUCCGUAGCUGGUCUGAGAGGAUGAUCAGACACACUGGAACUGAGACACGGUCCAGACUCACACGGGAGGCAGCAGUGGGGAAUAUUGGACAAUGGGCGCGAGCCUGAUACAGCCAUAGCGCGUGGGUGAAGAAGGCCUUCGGGUUGUAAAGCCGUUUUGUUGGGAAAGAAAAGCAGCAGGUUAAGACCCCGCUGUUCUGACGGUACCAACAGAAUAAGCACCGGCUAACUGCGU
rnacentral:rRNA from 1 species